UCGAUCCGGCUCCCCUCGCCGUCCUGGACACGGCGGAGUGCAGAGCCGCCCGUAAGCUCUAGGGCCCGUGCAGGCCACACCAUGAACACCUCCCCAGGCACGGUGGGCAGUGACCCGGUCAUCCUGGCCACUGCAGGCUACGACCACACCGUGCGCUUCUGGCAGGCCCACAGCGGCAUCUGCACCCGGACUGUGCAGCACCAGGACUCCCAAGUGAAUGCCUUGGAGAUCACACCAGACCGCAGCAUGAUUGCUGCUGCAGGUAUCUGUGACCCUUGCCCUCUAACCCCUGACCUCUGGUGGGUCGACCUCAGCACAGCCAAGCUUCAGUUCAGCCUGUAUCCCUAGGUUACCAGCAUAUCCGCAUGUAUGAUCUCAACUCCAAUAACCCUAACCCCAUCAUCAGUUACGACGGCGUCAACAAGAACAUCGCGUCUGUGGGCUUCCACGAAGACGGCCGCUGGAUGUACACGGGCGGCGAGGACUGCACAGCCAGGAUCUGGGACCUCAGGUGCAGUGGGGAGGGGCCUGCUGCCUGGGGCUGGGGUGAGCUGCUCUGGGAGACCGUUUUACG
rnacentral:sRNA from 1 species